rnacentral:sRNA from 1 species
GGUUGGGUAUUUCUUGCUGGUGAUUGUAUGAUUGAAGUCGGUUUCCUUUCUUCACCUUUAUGCUGGGUAGUUGAUUUUGGGAGUUUUGCUUGGAUAUCUACACAACACCAGGCCUAGAUCCAUCAUUAAUGAGUGAAUUGGACAUCAUGGCACUUAUUAUGCUCUAAAUAGUUUAAUUUUCAAUUUUUGUAUGUACAUUUUAGCUUUAAAGUUUUUGUAGUUUAAGUUUUCGUUUUCAUUAACUCUAUAAGCUUAAUUUCUUUCGUUUUAGGUGCUCAAAAACCGAUUGAGAAUGACACAACCAGAGACAAUUUGGGUACAAACUCAACUGCAAACGAAAAAAAUUGUUCAGGAGAAGUUGCUUCUUUUUUUGGAUGUUACUGACGGGUGGAAAUCAGACUAUUUGUUCGAAGUGUCUACCAAUUAGAUUUGAUUGCACAAAAAUAAUGUUGUUGCCGUACCUAUUAUUUUAUAGUGUCAUACAACAGUAUGCUUAUAGAUGUAUGCUUCUAUAAGCUAUCAAAGCAAAGAGAAAUUUUCUUUUCUUGAUCCGUGUUAAAUGUGUGUAUAUAU